AAUGGGAAAUUUAAGAGCAUAUGGUGGAUGCCUUGACUCUAAGAGGCGAUGAAGGACGUAGCGUAGCUGCGAUAAGCUUCGGGGAGGUGCCUAGCAACCUUUGAUCCGGAGAUCUCCGAAUGGGGAAACCUAUUCCGAUGCAAAUCGGAAUCUUCUGACGCAAGUCAGAGAGCGUACCCAGGGAAGUAAAACAUUUCAGUACCUGGUGGAAAAUAAAACAAUGUCGCGUAAGCGACGACAUUUCCUUAGUAGUGGCGAGCGAAAAGGAAAUAGCCCAGAUCGGUCGCGCCUCGUUGGAUUCGUCACGACAGCUUUUAGUUUUUAGCUAUCAGCUUUUAGCUUUCAAAUUCAGGAAGCUAACAGUCAGAAGCUUACAGCUAUUAGUCUGCAGUGCCGAGGACAGCGAGGCGCGACUGAAGUAGUAAGGCGGCAACUUCAUUAUUUAUAAUGAGAAAAGUUACAAAAUAUUUCGUUAGCAGAAUUUGCUGGGAAGCAAAGCCCUAGAGGGUAAUAGCCCCGUAAGUGAAAAUGAAAUAUCUUUUCCGUUGCCGUUCUUGAGUACCUCAAGACACGAAUGGCUUGGGGGAAUCUGCCGGAACUAACCGGUAAGGCUAAAUACUCUUAGAGAUCGAUAGUGAACAAGUACCGUGAGGGAAAGGUGAAAAGCAGCCCGGUAAGGGCGGUGAAAUAGACCUGAAACCAUAUGCUUACAAGGAGUCGGAGUCCCUCACCAAUUUUGUGUUGUAGAAUUUUUCUAGAACCCAAAAUUGGUGAGUGGAUCACGGCGUGCCUAUUGAAGAAUGAGCCAACGAGUUGAUGUAAGCUGCUUAGCUAAGCCCCCAAAGGGUGGAGCUGUAGGGAAACCGAGUGUGAAUAGCGCGUUUGUAGUAUACAUCAGACCCGAAGCCAAGUGAGCUUGCCAUGAGCAGGGUGAAUCCCGACGAAAGUCGGGAGGAGGCCCGAACCGGUUAGCCGUGCAAUACUAUCGGAUGACUUGUGGUAAGAAGUGAAAAGCUAAUCGAACUUGGUAAUAGCUGGUUCUCUCCGAAAUAGCUUUUGGGCUAGCGUCUGGAUUACCUUCUGGGGGUAGAGCACUGGAUGGUCUAAACAGGGAGAAAUCUCAUUAGACCAAUCAAACUCCGAAUACCAGAAGUAAACUUCCAGGCAGUUAGACCGUGGGGGCUAAGCUCCAUUGGUCAAAAGGGAAACAGCCCGGAUCUCAACUUAAGGUCCCUAAAUCUACGCUAAGUACGCUUGAGGUGGUGGAAUUUCACAGACAGUGAGGAUGUUGGCUUAGAAGCAGCCAUCAUUUAAAGAUAGCGUAACAGCUCACUCACUAAGAGAUUCUGCGCCGCAGAUAAUCGGGGUUAAGCAUAGUACCGAAAUUGAGGAUGUCAUUUUGCUUCGGCAGAAUGGCGUGGUAGGAGAGUAUUCUCAUCGCGAUGAAGCCAAAGGCGCGAGCCAUGGUGGAGCGUUGAGAAGUAAGAAUGUUGGCACAAGUAACCACAAUGCGGGUGAGAACCCCGCACGCCGAAAGACCAAGGUUUCCUUGGCGAUGUCAAUCAGCCAAGGGUUAGUCGGGCCUAAGGGGAUGGCGAAAGCCGCACCCGAUGGACACAUGGUUAAUAUUCCAUGACUUUUAUGUGUUGUGACGGGAGGACGGAGUCUAGUAUGUUUUGCGCAUUAUUGGAUUUGCGUUCGUGUCGCAAGAAGGGCUUCCAGGAAAAUCCGGAAGCGAGCCGUAAGAAGGCACCCUCCAAGCGAAGCGAAAAUUUGCCGGUUCGCCGGUGAAAAUAAAACAAAGCAGACUCUCAAGAAAAUUCUCUAAACUUAAAUACAUAAAAUCCGUACCGCAAACCGACACAGGUGGUCAGCUCGAGUAGAGCAAGGCGAACGAGUGAGAGGUCCCCAAGGAACUCGGCAAAAAAGCAGCCGUAACUUCGGAAUAAGGCUUCCCCUCACCAAUUUUGGGCUAUAAUUGCAAAAUGUAUUAUGUGUAUCUGAUUCAGCAUGACCUUUCGAGAGAAAUCUAUAUCGGUUUAACAACUGAUCCGAAAGAGCGAUUGCGAACGCACAAUGGCAAAGGUAAAAAAUUUACUACCAGAAAAUCUGGCAUGUGGCAUUUUAUUUACCUUGAGCUCUUUCGUUCACAGCAAGACGCUAUCGAUCGCGAGAAAAAACUGAAAGGUCACGCAAAAGGAAAACACGAACUUCUCAAGCGACUAAAAUAUAGUUUGCUUGAGCCCAAAAUUGGUGAGGGGCGCAGCUAAAGUAUCUCUGGCAACUGUUUAUCAAAAACACAGCUCCCUGCGAACUCGCAAGAGGAUGUAUAGGGGGUGACACUUGACCAAUGCCAGAAGGUCAAACAACGACGGUGCCAAGCACCACUUUUGACGGAAUAUCAAUGUGAUUAUUUUAAAGUUUAUUUGGAAAAUAUUUUAAAGUUAUUACAAAAAGUAUUAUUUCAAAAGUGGUGCUCGGUGCUGAUUGUUGUAAGCCCUGGUGAAUGUCGGCCGUAACUAUAGAUUUGACCGUUGUAGUUACGCUAAAAAAUCUUGCUAUAUGCUGGAAACUCUGGUCCAUCAUUUAUUUAAAAAUAAGUGAUGGAAAAAAGUGUUCAUUAUUACUCGCUUUCAUCGAAAAGCAGUGACAAUAUAAUGACGCAGACAAUCAGCAGGAAAGACUUCUUUUGUAAUCAAAAGUAAAUAUGAAUUGGUUAAGCCAAAUCAAACCGGAUAUGGGAAACUAUAUCGCGGGAUUCACUGACGGCGAAGGAAGCUUCAAUGUUUCAGUGAAAAAGAGAAUUGAUUACAGAGAUCAAUGGAAAUUGACCGCUUCGUUCAAUAUUUCUCAAAAAGAUCGCGUCAUUCUGGCUCUUAUUAAAAAAGAGAUUGGAUGUGGGACUUUGCGAGAAAGAAAAGACGGGGUUGUUUAUUAUGAAGUGACCAAUAUCACUUCUCUGAAAGAAAGAAUAAUCCCGUUUUUUAAACGGUUCGGAUUUCUUUCAGCGCGAAAAAAGACAAAUUUUUCUAUUUUCUCUUCUAUUGUUGAGAAAAUGGCAGACGGAGAACAUCUGACAGAAGAAGGUUUUCAGAAAAUUCUUGAACUAAGAGAAAUUCUUAAUGAGGGAAAAGGAAGAAAACGAAAAUAUAAUUUAUCAGAUUGCGUAUCAAAAGAAGAAUCCUCAGAGACUAUACGCAAGACGGUUUCAAAUUAAUUGAAUGUCGACGAUUUGAAGACGAUGAUAUAGUCCGAUCUCUCUAGCGAUAGAGAGUUAACAAAUAGUUAAAAUUGAUAAACAGAGACUGCUAAGUUGAAGCAUUGUUUGGUGCUAAGCUACAAAAUAUAAACGGUCCUAAGGUAGCGAAAUUCCUUGUCAGGUAAGUUCUGACGCGCACGAAUAGUGUAAUGACUGGAGAACUGUCUCGGGGGCUUGCUCGGUGAAAAUACAAUACCGGUGAAGAUGCCGGUUACCUGCAGCUAGACGAAAAGACCCUAGGAGCUUUACUGCAAUUUUAUAUUGAGUGUAUGUUUCAACUGCGUAGCGUAGACGGGAGACUUUGAAGUUUCGUUCUCGGACGAAAUGGAGUCGCCGAUGAAACACCGUUCUUUUGUGAUAUGCAUUCUAAUCCGCGCGGCAAAAACGCGCGGCGACAGUAUAUGAUGGGCAGUUUUAGUGGGGCGCUAUCCUCCUAAAAAGUAACGGAGGAGCCUAUUAAGGUUGGCUAAGCGCGAAUGGAAACCGUGCUGAUAGUGUAAUGGCACAAGCCAGCUUGACUGCAAGGCGUACUUGCCGAGCAGGCGCGAAAGCGGAGCAUAGUGAACCGACGGCCCGCAUUAGACGCGGCCAAAGAUUAUCGGACAAAAGCUACCCUAGGGAUAACAGGCUGGUAGUGCCUAAGCGUCCAUAGCGACGGCACUGUUCGGCACCUCGAUGUCGGCUCAACUUAUCCUGGGGGUGGAGAAGCUCCCAAGGGUUUGGCUGUUCGCCAAUUAAAAAGUUACGCGAGCUGGGUUCAGACCGUUUAGAAGAAAACUCGAAAUUCGAAUAUCGAAAUUCGAAACAAUAUUUAAAUUUCAAAUUAUAAAUUCAAAACGAAAAUUCUCGUUUA
rnacentral:rRNA from 1 species